AUUGAACGCUGGCGGCAUGCCUUACACAUGCAAGUCGAACGGCAGCACGGGGGCAACCCUGGUGGCGAGUGGCGAACGGGUGAGUAACAUAUCGGAACAUACCCUAGAGUGGGGGAUAACGUAGCGAAAGUUACGCUAAUACCGCAUACGAUCUAAGGAUGAAAGUGGGGGAUCUUCGGACCUCAUGCUCAUGGAGUGGCCGAUAUCUGAUUAGCUAGUUGGUGAGGUAAAGGCUCACCAAGGCGACGAUCAGUAGCUGGUUUGAGAGAACGACCAGCCACACUGGAACUGAGACACGGUCCAGACUCCUACGGGAGGCAGCAGUGGGGAAUUUUGGACAAUGGGGGCGAACCCUCGAUCCAGCAAUGCCGCGUGAGUGAAGAAGG
rnacentral:rRNA from 1 species